rnacentral:rRNA from 1 species
CCUACGGGAGGCAGCAGUGAGGAAUAUUGGUCAAUGGGCGGAAGCCUGAACCAGCCAAGUAGCGUGCAGGAUGACGGCCCUACGGGUUGUAAACUGCUUUUAUACGGGAAUAACGCGCCUUACGUGUAGGGCUUUGCAUGUACCGUACGAUUAAGGACCGGCUAAUUCCGUGCCAGCAGCCGCGGUAAUACGGAAGGUCCGGGCGUUAUCCGGAUUUAUGGGGUUUAAAGGGAGAGUAGGCGGCAUGUCAAGCGUGGUGUGAAAUGUCCGGGCUCAACCCGGGCCUUGCAGCGCGAACUGGCGUGCGUGAGUCCGCGGAAGGCAGGCGGAAUUCGUCGUGUAGCGGUGAAAUGCUUAGAUAUGACGAAGAACCCCGAUUGCGAAGGCAGCUUGCUGCAGCGGAACUGACGCUGAUGCUCGAAAGCGCGGGUAUCGAACAGGAUUAGAUACCCGGGUAGUC